rnacentral:rRNA from 1 species
CCAAUAGCGUAUAUUAAAGUUGUUGCAGUUAAAAAGCUCGUAGUUGAAUUUCGGGGUUAGUAGGUUGGUCAUGCCUCCGGUAUGUACUGGUCUCACUGAUUCCUCCUUCCUGAUGAGCCGUAAUGCCAUUAAUGUGGUGUUGCGGGGAAUUUGGACUGUUACUUUGAAAAAAUUAGAGUGUUUAAAGCAAGCUAACGCUUGAAUACAUUAGCAUGGAAUAAUGAAAUAGGACGUUCGAUCCUAUUUUGUUGGUUUCUGGGAUUGACGUAAUGGUUAAUAGGGAUAGUUGGGGGCAUUAGGAUUCAAUUGUCAGAGGGGAAAUUCUUGGAUUUAUUGAAGACUAACUACUGCGAAAGCAUUUGCCAAGGAUGUUUUCAUUAAUCAAGAACGAAAGUUAGGGGAUCGAAGACGAUCAGAUACCGUCGUAGUCUUAACCAUAAACUAUGCCGACUAGGGAUCGGAUGAUGUUAAUUUUUUAAUGACUCAUUCGGCGCCUUACG